rnacentral:rRNA from 1 species
CAAGUGAAGAGUUUGAUCCUGGCUCAGAUUGAACGCUGGCGGCGUGCUUAACACAUGCAAGUCGAGCGGUAACAGGCGUAGCAAUACGUGCUGACGAGCGGCGAACGGGUGAGUAAUGCUU